rnacentral:rRNA from 1 species
CUUGUAAGAGGUCUCGCCUGCCCAGUGACGUUCAACGGCCGCGGUAUUUUGACCGUGCAAAGGUAGCGUAAUCAUUUGUCUUUUAAAUGAAGACCCGUAUGAAUGGCGGAACGAGGGCUAAACUGUCUCCUUUUUCAGGUCAAUGAAAUUGAUCUCUCCGUGCAGAAGCGGAGAUAGUCCCAUAAGACGAGAAGACCCUGUGGAGCUUUUCGGUUGGGGCGACCAUGGAGCUCCAGCUAAGAGCUCUAAUUAACAGAUUCUGACCUGAUCCGGGAUUAACGAACCAAGUUACCCCAGGGAUAACAGCGCAAUCCUCUUCUAGAGCCCAUAUCGACAAGAGGGUUUACGACCUCGAUGUUUGGAUCAGGACAUCCUAAUGGUGCAACCGCUAUUAAGGGUUCGUUUUGUUCAACGAAAACAUUGAUUGUUCAAUCCGCCCGGGAAUUACGAACACCAGUCUGAAACCCAAAGGACUUGGCGGUGCUUUACAUCCACCUAGAGGAGCCUGUCCUAUAACCGAUAAACCCCGUUAAACCUCACCCUCCCUUGCCCGCCUAUAUACCGCCGUCGUCAGCUUACCCUAUGAAGGCUCAAUAGUAAGCGCAAUUGG